rnacentral:lncRNA from 1 species
UUAAUUUAAAAUUCUUUUUAAAAAAAAUUCAUUUUUCUCUCUUCUUCUUCAAAAACAAAGCAAACUCUCUCUCAAGCCCUCUCAGCCCUCCCCUUCCCCCUCCGGCCACGACUCCGGUCACCUGACCAUCGUGGCGGCCGCUGGUCGCCGACAGCGAUGGCGCCGUCCACGGUGGCUGGAGAGCCCAAAAUUCCCUUUUUUUUCCCUCUCGACCCCUAAACUCCGGAUUUAGAGUUAGUUUUUUUCCAAAAAAUGGCCAAAGAAUGCUGAAAUGGGUGAAGACUCUUCGGUGGCCGACGAUGGAAAGACUCAAGUGAGCCCCUCUUCCCUUUUUAUUUUUCUUUUAUUUCGUAUGUAAAAAAAAAAAAAAGAGGAAGGAUUUAAGAAGAAAAAUAUAAAGAAAUAACCUUUAAACUUUUUUGCAUUUGAUUUUUUUCUCUAUGAAAUAUUUUCGAUUUCAAUCUCUCCUCUCCCUCUUACAUCGACUUGGUGAUGGCUUUUCAUAGCCGAAAUUGAUACAAUAUAUUAUGUUUUUUUUUUGCUACUAUUUGCUACUGUUUUGUGUUGUUUGCUUCUGCUUUUUUUUUUCAGUUUGCAGGUGUUGCGUGUUGUUUCCUCUUUGUAGGUGGCAGAGAUGUCAGAUGGCCGUGGCAGAAGGUAGUGCGGCGCGCCUAGGGCAUUAGGUUUCUUUCUCUGGUUGAAAAUGUUUAGGUAGUGAGCUUAUUUGGCCAUUAGGGUUUUUUUUUUAUUUUUUGGGUCAAUGGCCAUUAGGAAAUAGGGUUGUUUUUAGUCUGGGCCGUUCGGGUUUUGGGCCUGUUGUAAAAAUUUGGACUGCUUAAUUUUAUUAAAAGUUGGGGUAAAAUUGGGUUAUCAUAAUUAUAAUCUCCAAAUUAGACAUACAUUUUUUUUUGACAUCCUAUCUUCAAUAAAGAGAAAGACAUUUUUUUUAAAUAUUUGUAUGUUAAUUAAGAAGAUCGAAAUCAUAAGAUUUGAAGAUUUGAACAUGUUUCUUAGACAUAUAAAUUUCGUUCUUGAUAAUUUGACAUUUAUCUAAUUUUAUA